GAUGAAGACGUAGCGAAAUGCGAUACUUGGUGUGAAUUGCAGAAUCCCGUGAACCAUCGAGUCUUUGAACGCAAGUUGCGCCCGAAGCCAUUAGGCCGAGGGCACGCCUGCCUGGGCGUCACACGUCGUUGCCCCCCCAUCUACUCCUUCGGGAUUGCGGGGGGCGGAUGAUGGCCUCCCGUGCGCCUCGCCGCGCGGUUGGCAUAAAUGCCAAGUCCUCGGCGACGCACGCCACGACAAUCGGUGGUUGCGAAACCUCGGUUGCCCGUCGUGUGCGGUCGUCGCGCAUCGAGGGCUCGAAAAAAUUGCCGGGCUCCGGCUCGACUUUCAACGCGACCCCAGGUCAGGCGGGGUUACCCGCUGAAUUUAAGCAUAUCAAUAAGCGGAGGA
rnacentral:misc_RNA from 1 species